GCAAUAAGUGCUGCAUGACGAUUCCUGAGCCAGCAAACCCGUGAUGGAUGGAUCUAGAACUCCACGCGGGCCCGGUCAGUGCAGGAACCCAGGACCUAGUCCAGCUGUUUCCUGAGGACCCAGAGCACCGUCUGCACAGACGUCAGAGCUGCUGGCACCGUGACCGUGGGCCACCCCCGGGCAGGGGGCGCGGCCGCGCUUGCCGAGUGAUCAGGUUGGUUUCUGCCUUCCCCUGGCAGCUACACCAAGUGGGUCAAAACCCUUCAUCCGCGAGACCGCCCCCGUCCGGUGAGUCACUGCGCCCGGGCGAGAGGCCUGCCUUUCCAGCCCUUGGUUCUGUGGGAGAAGAAGGGGCACAGGGAGCACCCCGGAUCCUGGCACCUUUCAGCCUUCAUGCCGUCACCCCAACAAGGACAUCACCAGCACCUCCCGGAGCCUGCAGCAACGGGGCUCAGGGCGAUUUCUUAAGGCACUUGGUCCCAGACAAGCCAACGGAUGCAUUUACUGAGCACCCAUUUAGUCAAGAUGUGCAACGCCCCUACUGCACACCGGGCAGCGUGCUGGGUACAUGGUAUGAGGACCACAGACCCAGCCGCAGCCUGGGAGCCGGCAGCAUCCCAGGAGUCACAUGACACGUGCAUCACAGCGAGUCCACCCAUGAGAGGCAGCUGGGCUUGCAGGCAGGGCAGCCGAGACCACCUCCUCGGGGAAGUGACCACAGAGACUUAACGGAGGAGAGGGAGGCAGGAAUAGGAUCCUCACCAGGAACCAACCAGGCUGGCCCGGCCGGUGUCGCUCAGUGGUUGAGCAUGGACCUAUGAACCAGGAGGCCGCGGCUCAAUUCCCGAUCAGGGCACAGGCCCGGGGUUUCAGGCUCGAUCCCCAGUAGGGGGCGUGCAGGAGGCAGCCGAUCCAUGAUUCUCUCUCAUCACUGAUGUUCCUCUCUCUCUCCCUCUCCCUUCUUCUCUGAAAUCAAUAAAAAUAUAUUUAAAAAUAUAAAAAUAAAAUAGAACCAACCAGGCUGGCA